UGAAACUGCGAAUGGCUCAUUAGAACAGUUAUAGUUUAUGUGAUAUAUUAAAUGGAUAACUGUAGGAAACUAGAGCUAAUACAUGCCAAGGCCGACAGGCUGCAUUUAUUAGAUAUACCAAGAAGGUGAAUCAUAAUAACUUUGCAAAUCGAAACUACGUUUCGAUACAUCAUUUAAGUUUCUGACCUAUCAUGCUCUCGAUGGUAGUGUAUUGGACUACCAUGGCAGUCACGGGUAACGGAGAAUUAGGGUUCGAUUCCGGAGAAGGAGCCUGAGAAACGGCUACUACAUCUAAGGAAGGCAGCAGGCGCGUAAAUUACCCAAUCCUAAAUCAGGGAGGUAGUGACAAGAUAUAACAACGCGAUUAAAUGUCGCGAUUGUAGUGAGGGUGUUCUAAAAAUAGCUUCGAGUACGAUUGGAGGGCAAGUCUGGUGCCAGCAGCCGCGGUAAUUCCAGCUCCAAUAGCGUAUAUUAAAGUUGUUGCAGUUAAAAAGCUCGUAGUUGGACUUCAUAAGAUGUAAAUGGGAUAACCAUUUGCUCUUUACCA
rnacentral:rRNA from 1 species